rnacentral:tRNA from 1 species
AUUUAUCUAGAAGAUUUUAGUUUAAUAAAAGCAUUUGGGUUGCAUUCAGAAGAUGUAAGAUAGAGUCUU